rnacentral:rRNA from 1 species
GGCGGCGUGCUUAACACAUGCAAGUCGAACGAUGAACCCGGAGCUUGCUCUGGGGGAUUAGUGGCGAACGGGUGAGUAACCCGUGAGUAACCUGCCCUGGACUCUGGGAUAAGCGUUGGAAACGACGUCUAAUACCGGAUAGGACCUUGGAUCGCAUGAUCUGGGGUGGAAAGUUUUUUCGGUCUGGGAUGGACUCGCGGCCUAUCAGCUUGUUGGUGAGGUAAUGGCUCACCAAGGCGUCGACGGGUAGCCGGCCUGAGAGGGUGACCGGCCACACUGGGACUGAGACACGGCCCAGACUCCUACGGGAGGCAGCAGUGGGGAAUAUUGCACAAUGGGCGAAAGCCUGAGGCAGCAAAGCCGCGUGCGGGAUGACGGCCUUCGGGUUGUAAACCGCUUUUAGUAGGGAAGAAGGGCUUCGGCUUGACGGUACCUGCAGAAAAAGGACCGGCUAACUACGUG